CUUUAAAAAUCUGGAUCAAGCUGAAAAUUGAAACGACACACAUGUUAUGUGUGUUCGAGUCUCUCAAAUUUUCGCAAUCAGAAGUGAAACAUCUUCGG
rnacentral:sRNA from 13 species